UGCAAACAAUUAUAUGCGAGGUGCGUAGCCGAUGACUUCUUGUCCCGGAAACUCCAAAAAGAAUGUCAACAAUACUUUACUGAAAACAUACACUGUCGGAUUACAUCAACGCUUGGUAUUUCAUUACAUAUAACAACGGCAAAAUUAAAGUUAUGAUAAUUGCUGUCAGGAUUAAAGAUUAUCAGUAUUAUUUCAUGGAAUAUGGUCAAGUGUAACCUUUCGUCAGACCAAAAGAGAAACAAUAUUAAGUGAAGAUGACACUUACCUUUAGAUUCAAACUUUAUCUCACUGUCGGGAACAGGUUUCUGACCCACAACCAAAUACUACUUUGUAGUAUACAUAAUAAAUAUAAUUAUCCGCUUUGCAAGAAUAAUUUGUGAGUUAGUUUUGUUUUUUAUGUUUCAGACGAAAAUGCUGGUCAGGUGAACAAGAAGUUGAAAGUGUUCGGUAUCAGCGAGAAAGAGGGUGAAGAAAGACACCGACCAGAAGACAUGGACCAUUUCCCAACCACUGUAACUAGUGCAAGACGAAACCAGCGAUGUAAGCCUUGUAGGACGAUCAUACAAGAACAUUUGAAUAUACCAGAAGCAAACUUACUGUAUAAGGGUACAAGAGCCAUUUUGUCGACCAAGUACAUCUAGAGAUUCAACACAAAUUUGCUUUGUAUGCCAUCGGCGCAGAGACACGCCAUCGUAUAUAGGCUCCGUUUGUUGCUGUGUUUGUGAAUCAUGCGGCGUGUGUGAUGAACACUCUCCCAUCAGUGGUAGAACAUAAACAAAACAAUUGAUAUUUGUAACCAAAAUUACUGUCCAUAUUUUACGUUUCUUUUUUGUUAUGUUGUUGUUUACUUUUGACUAGCAAUUUAUUUAAUUGUGCAUUCAUAAAUUUAUUACAGUGUAGUUUAGUUUUGGAUAUUUCUAAUUCAUUUAAUAUGUUAUACAUUAUUUUGAUUUCUUUUGUCUUAAGUUCUAUUAUGACAGUUUAGUUUUUGUUUCAGUAUGUCUGUUAGGAACGUUACGUUUGCACUUUUAUGUAUACAUAUAUAGUUAUUAGAGUUAUUCUCUGUUUGUGAUAUUCAAUUCCGCUUAAGCAGAAUCUGUGCUAGGGGGCGUGAUUCAAAGGUAUUUGGCCUCUUGUCCAUGAAUGGGUUAAAUCAAACCGAGCCCGGGGUAUCUACAAUUUAUUGUACAUAAACGGAAACUUUUAAAACGCGUAAUUUAUUUAAUCAGUUUACUUACAUGCAAUUGUAUAUAUGCUAUUAACUUUUUAUUUCCACCAUUUAAUUUCAUUAUUCAUGAGACAAUGAGUCUUAUAUGACCUACAAGUUAAUAAUGUCUGAAAAUAUAUAUUGUUUUCUACUACUUUAGCUUUUUUGAAACGGAUUUAUCAUUUUGUUCAAAUAGUUGUAUGUCACUGAAAAUUGCUGAAGUAACAGAUUCUUUUGAAAAUGGGCAUGUUUUGCCAUAUAUAGGUGAAAUAGGAAUGUUUUCAUUCAUUUCAGAUAUAUUUUUUGGGGUAAUGAAUAAUUUGAAAAUUAUUUCAUGCAGUUUGAUAAAACAACACUUCUAGAUGUAAGAAAGCUUUGCAUUUACUCCAUUUAAGGACUUUAAGCUUUUAGGCUAGUGAACAUUUACCAUACUGAUUAAUCGAUAUAGUGUAUGCUUAAAUACGGUUUAGAAGUGCACCCUUUUACAUUAUUAGAAAAUCGCUUGUAUUUUCAUGUAUUUUGCAGACCUAUCCAACCUGAGGAAGUUUUUGUAAAAGAUCUUUGUUUCGCAGAAGUGACUAAAUACGUUUUAUUUCUUGUAGGGAACUUUGAAAUUAAAAAGAAUUAUAGCAGUCGGACUUUUUUUAAUUUGACUGAAAUGCAAGCUCAACCCGGGGCUAGAGGGCGUGGACGGUAGCAUGCAUUUCCACUGCCGUCCAUGAACAGGCUCAAUCAAACCGAGCCUGCAACAUUUUCGAUUUUGUCGUGUUGAGCGACCGACCUGCGGAAUUUCCACAUUUCCUAUUUUAUGUUCAUUUGUUUUAAUUAUCUUAGCUAUAUGUCAAACAUUUUGGUGUAUAUCUCAAUGUGUUUAUUUGUCUUAGUUAUAUGUACAUAUGUCAAACAUUUUGGUGUAUAGCUUAAUGUUUUUAUUUGUCUUAGUUGUAUGUCAAACAUUUUGGUGUAUAUCUCAAUGUUUUCAUUUGUCUUAGUUAUGUGUCAAACAUUUUGGUGUAUAUCUCAAUGUUUUUAUUUGUAUUAGUUAUAUGUCAAACAUUUAGUAAAAUGUCACUACAGUCCAAAUGUGUUUCAUCCGAUGAAGCUUUAAUGAAAUCUAUUAACCUCACAAGAAGAGACUAGGUACGAAUGUUAUAAAGAAUGUGCAUUAGGUCGUCAACGAAAAUCGUGCGUUGUGACGCGACGUAUACUGUACGUUAGAACGUUUGAUUUUUCAACAACUGCUGUUAGUUGACGAUUUUGUUAUUCAUGAUAUCUAUAACUUUACAAGUAUGCACCAUUAAUUCAUUCUAGCAAUGCUAUAGGAGAAAGAAACAAGAAAUAAAUCAUGGUUUAGCGGUUUCCAUUUAAGUAUGAAAUACAUGAACGAGUUUGUAGUUGGUGAGGGCGGCAGAAGUGAUUCGAUCUCCGAAAACUUUCAUUGCGCUCAUGUAAUCUGGAUCAUCAUAUAACCCAGGUGGUGCCAUUCAUACGAAAAUAGAUAAUACUCAACAUUUAUUUUAAUACAAUUUGUUUGCGUUUUUUGUAUCAGUAAAAGUAUUAAAAUUUGAUGCGCUCCUGUUUUAUUCCGUUUCCAUUAUUCUAUUCUCUCUGGCCAAAAAGCAUCAUGGUUAUGUGCUGUUGUUCGUUUGUGUUGUUGUUGUUGUUGUUGUUUUUGUCUUACUGAAUACUAGUAUAUGAUUGCUGAUGGCAUAUAGCGCUCUAUAAAAAUCUUAAUAAGUUUGAUUUUUAUUUUGAUAUUUUGAAAACCUACAAACAUGCAUUUGUUUGUUUCGGUGUUAUUUACUGCUGUUACAAAGUCAGUAAAACAGACUAGUAUUAGAUGUUUUUAAAGUUUUUAUACUACCAAAUGAAGUCCAAUUGUAAAGUGUUUGCUCAAAGUAAGGCAUUGUUAAGGAUAUGUUUUUUUUAUUAUUAUUAUUUUGUUGGGUUUAACGUCGCACCGACACAAUUUUAGGUCAUAUGGCGACUUUCCAGCUUUAAUGGUGGAGGAAGACCCCAGGUGCCCCUCCGUGCAUACUGUCAUCAAGAGCGGGCACCUGGGUAGAACCACCGACCUUCCGUAAGCCAGCUGGAUGGCUUCCUCACGUGAAGAAUUCUACGCCCCAAAUGAGGUUUCGAACCCAAAUCGAUGAGGGGCAAAUGGUUUGAAGUCAACGACUCUAACCACUCGGCCACGGAGGCCCCUAAAGAUAUGUCAGUUGUGAAUUGUCUUUUGUUACAUUUUAUAAAUAAUAAGUAAGACGAAUAAAGACGAAUCGUCAGUGCCAAACCUAGUUACUCUGUGUGAAUACUAAUAUCCUGCCUUUUCUAUAAGAUUUUAUUGUGUUCUAAAGGAUGGCAAAGACUUUGCAACAAAUGCCACUUUGUACUUAGGAAAUAUCCUCAUGUGUAUUCAGACGAAAAUACGCUGAAUCUAUUGAAAAUUACACCUGAUAAAAUAUGCGUGCUCGAACGAACAAGAUAAGUAAAUUACAGUAGAAGUUAUCGAUAGUUUUUGUGCAGUAUGUCUCUCUGAGAAAGCAAAUGAGCAAAGACUUGCAUGUCAUAGUAAUUCGGUAAGUGUCACUAUAAAUCCCGAUUU